UACGUAGGGGGCUAGCGUUGUCCGGAAUCAUUGGGCGUAAAGCGCGCGUAGGCGGUCAGGAAAGUCCGGUGUGAAAGUCAUAGGCUCAACCUAUGGAUGCCGCUGGAAACUGCCUGACUUGAGUCCGGAAGGGGCGAGUGGAAUUCCUGGUGUAGCGGUGAAAUGCGCAGAUAUCAGGAGGAACACCGGUGGCGAAGGCAGCUCUCUGGGACGGUACUGACGCUGAGACGCGAAAGCGUGGGGAGCGAACAGG
rnacentral:rRNA from 1 species